rnacentral:rRNA from 1 species
UUAAAAAGCUCGUAGUUGGAUUUCUGGGAAGGCGCCAAUGCUAGCUUCUUGCUUUCGCAACGGCACCUUUCCAUCCUUCUGUUAGCGCCUCUUGGCAUUCAUUUGCUGGUGGCGGGCUCAGAUAUUUUACCUUGAGAAAAUUAGAGUGUUUCAGGCAGGCUACGCCGGAAUACAUUAGCAUGGAAUAAUGGAAUAGGUCUGAGGUCUCUUUGUUGGUUUGAGGGACUCCAGUAAUGAUUAAUAGGGACAGUUGGGGGCAUUAGUAUUUAUUAGUCAGAGGUGGAAUUCUAUGAUUUGAUAAAGACUAACUUAUGCGAAAGCAUUUGCCAAGGAUGUUUUCAUUAAUCAAGAACGAAAGUUAGAGGAUCAAAGACGAUCGGAUACCGUCCUAGUCUUAACCAUAAACUAUGCCGACUCGGGAUUGGGAGUGAGAACUAUCCGCUCUCAGCACCGUACGAGAAAUCCAAAGUCUUUGGGUUCUGGGGGGAGUAUGGUCCA